rnacentral:tRNA from 1 species
GGUUUAUAGCUCAGGGGUAGAGCGCUUGCCUCGCUCUUAUGAGGUACUGUGUUCGAUCCUCAGCACCA